UUUCCGUAGGUGAACCUGCGGAAGGAUCAUUAUUGUAUAACCGAGAUGCGAGGGCUGUCGCUGACCCGAAAGGUCGUGCACGCCCGCGUGCCCGCACACACAUCCAUCUCACCCCUAUGUGCACCACCGCGUGGGUCCCCCUUUGGCUUGUUCGGAGGGGGGCUUACGUUUUCACACAAACUUUGUAUGUAGUGUAGAAUGUAUUUUUUGUUUUUGCGAUCACGCAAUCAAUACAACUUUCAACAACGGAUCUCUUGGCUCUC
rnacentral:misc_RNA from 1 species